rnacentral:rRNA from 1 species
AUUGAACGCUGGCGGUACGCCUUACACAUGCAAGUCGAACGGCAGCACGGGAGCAAUCCUGGUGGCGAGUGGCGAACGGGUGAGUAAUAUAUCGGAACGUGCCCAGUCGUGGGGGAUAACGUAGCGAAAGCUACGCUAAUACCGCAUACGAUCUAUGGAUGAAAGCGGGGGAUCGCAAGACCUCGCGCGAUUGGAGCGACCGAUAUCAGAUUAGGUAGUUGGUGAGGUAAAGGCUCACCAAGCCGACGAUCUGUAGCUGGUCUGAGAGGACGACCAGCCACACUGGGACUGAGACACGGCCCAGACUCCUACGGGAGGCAGCAGUGGGGAAUUUUGGACAAUGGGCGCAAGCCUGAUCCAGCAAUGCCGCGUGCAGGAUGAAGGCCUUCGGGUUGUAAACUGCUUUUGUACGGAGCGAAAAGGCUUCCACUAAUACUGGGGACUCAUGACGGUACCGUAAGAAUAAGCACCGGCUAACUACGUGCCAGCAGCCGCAGUAACAC